ACCACCCCUUAAGAUAAGAACUGAGAACUUAUCUCAGCCGUCAAUCAAACCAAUCCAACGGCCGAAGAUCUACCCGAAAAAACGAAAAUAGUAAGGGUAGAUUAGUAAUUUACCCGGGUUGAAUGACCUUCCCCAACUCCCCCAAUUUUCAGAAUUUCUUUCUCUCUCUUCCCCCCUCCUCUCAUGUAAACGCGCUCUCUCUCUCCCUCCUCCUCCUUUCUCAUAUUCUCUUCUUCUAAUUUCAACGAUAUUUGUUCUACCUUUGAUUCUGGGUUUUAUUUUUCAAUUUCUUUUGUUGCUCAGGUGAUUGUUCUUGUAAUUUUUUUUUUCGAACAUGUUAAAUUAGGUUUUCUUGUUUGUUGAUUAUGUAUUUACUUUUUCUGAUCUUAUGUUUACUUUUUGUGGAUGUUGUGUUUACUUUUGAUGAUAUUGUGUUUACUUUUGCUGAUAAUGUCUUUAUAUUUUCGAUUGCUCUAAUUCAUUCACCUUCUUUGCGAUUAUCCUCUUUCAAUUCGCCAGUGAAGAAGAAGAUGAGACUAGUCUCUAUUUUGGUGAUGGAAUGAGUUAGACCCUCCAUCGCGUCCUGCUGAUUCAAGACUUCCUUUUGAGUAUUGCUAUGAUAUGAGACCUGAUGCAAAUACAAAUUUAGUACCCACUGUGAUUCUUUCUUUGAAAGGAGUUGGCUAGUUUAGGGUUUAUGAUCCCAUCAUUGUCAUUUCAACCCAGAUUGAACUGGUAUAUUGUCUUGCUCUGGUCACGGAUUACCGUCACGGAUUACUCUGUAUUUGAGUGACUACCUUGAUUUCAGAUCCAAUUAUCUCAUACACUCCGUAUUGCUUAAAUUUGAGCCGGAUAGAGAACCCAUACUAGAUCAUCAAAUACGGUAUGUUGUGGAUCACAGUAUUGUUCAAAUUCUCCUCUGAUGCUACUGUUAAAGGUUUGACAGGCUUGAGGGUUAUUGAUCAGUAGAUCAGUCUAGUAAUAAGUGCAAGAUUCUGUUUCGUUGGGUGCUAGCAGACAGAUUCAGGCCUUUAAGGAGGAAGUGAAAUUUAGCUCAAGCUUGCAGGCAGAAACAAAUAAAACAGAAGCUUUAUGGUGUUUGUUUUGCUGAAACCAUAUAUGCCUUAUUGACUUUGCAAAAGAGUAGAAUUUUUCAGGCUCGCAAGGAGAACCAACAAACUGUUGUCAGGAGCAUUUUGUUUAAUGUGGCGUGCAGAUGCUCCGAAAAAAUGAGAAGGUUUCUUAUCGUUUGAACACUAAUGUUUUUUUCCCCGUAAGCUCUUGUGUUUUGUUUUGUUGUUUUGGUGAAGCAAUGUUUCAGUUGGGGUUUUGCUUCUAAGAUUUUUAGAUUUUUUUGAGUUAUUAUGAUUUACUUUUGAGAUACUUUGAUUUACUUUUGAGUUUCUUUUGUUUACUUUUGAGUUUUUCUAAAAUGUACUUAUAGGGACAGUAGGAGAGUAACUAGUAGUAAGAAAACUGAGUAAGCUCUGGAGUCUGUGCAAAGUCUAUGGUUUGAUUUACUUGUCUCGGUUACACUAUGUUGUUGCAAGACAUUUUUGUACUUGAAGAUAAAAUUGAAGGAUUAAAUACAAAUAGGGUGAAGAAAA